UACCCCCAAACCAAGGGGGGGAUGAGAACCCCCGACCGGGGUUCGACAACUGGCGCAGCCAGUUGGACAGACGACGAGCUUGCGAGGAGACUGCCCGAAGGGCGAGCGCAGCGAGUCAAUCCCCCCCUCACCGCCA
rnacentral:sRNA from 1 species